CCCUUAGAUGUUCUGGGCCGCACGCGCGCUACACUGAUGCAUUCAACGAGUCCAACCUUGACCGAGAGGUCCGGGUAAUCUUUGAAACUGCAUCGUGAUGGGGCUAGAUUAUUGCAAUUAUUAAUCUUCAACGAGGAAUGCCUAGUAAGCGUGAUUCAUCAAAUCGCGUUGAUUACGUCCCUGCUCUUUGUACACACCGCCCGUCGCUCCUACCGAUUGAGUGUGUUGGUGAGGAGUUUGGAUUGGCCUCGGAAGGUGGUUCGCCACCGUCCGUAGCUGAGAAGUUCUCCAAACCGCCCCACUUAGAGGAAGGAGAAGUCGUAACA
rnacentral:rRNA from 1 species